rnacentral:rRNA from 1 species
GACGAACGCUGGCGGCGUGCUUAACACAUGCAAGUCGAACGGAAAGGCCCUGCUUUUGUGGGGUGCUCGAGUGGCGAACGGGUGAGUAACACGUGAGUAACCUGCCCUUGACUUUGGGAUAACUUCAGGAAACUGGGGCUAAUACCGGAUAGGAGCUCCUGCUGCAUGGUGGGGGUUGGAAAGUUUCGGCGGUUGUGUCUGGACUCGCGGCUUCUCAGCUUGUUGGUGAGGUAGUGGCUUACCAAGGCUUUGACGGGUAGCCGGCCUGAGAGGGGGACCGGCCACAGUGGAACUGAGACACGGGCAAGACUCCUACGGGAGGCAGCAGUAGGGAAUGUUCCGCAAAGGGCGAAAGCAUGACGGAGCAACGCCGCGUGAGUGAUGAAGGUCGUCGGAUCGGAAAACUCUGUUAUUAGGGAAGAACAAAUGUGUAAGUAACUAGGCACGUCUUGACGGUACCUAAUCAGAAAGCCACGGCUAACUACGUG